GAAGUAAUAUCUGGACUUUGAAAUUGUUUCCUUAAUGACAACAAAAAAGGGAGUAAUCCUACCCACUGUAAGAGUCAUGACUCUUGAUUGCAGCUGACAGAAACUCAUGACAGCCUGCUUUAGAUGAAGGGGGAGAGAAGGACUGGAAGAAUCUUGGAGUUGGGAAUGUCACACGUAAUUGAAGGAAGAACAAGAAAACUAUAGCAGCUGCUCCCAACCCCAGAACCUUUGCUGUCUUGGGACGGAUCACCACUGCAAGAGGGGAAGUUGCUACUGUGAUGAAUUCUGCCAUGUGGCACCAGACUGCCACCCAGACCACAGUGUCCUCUGCAACCCUGGUAACUCACAUACAGGCCCGAUUCCACCGACAGCAAAGCUGGAUGCUAUGGCUGGCAGAGGCAAACCCUUUGCCUGCACUUCAGGCCAAAGCCGGGAUGUGGCCUAGAUGGUUCCUAAGGUCCCUGACAAUCCUGAGAUCUUGCAUCUUGUCUAUUUCAGGUCAAAGGUGCCUACAUGCUCCUUCUAGCUUUGUUUCCCUGAUGUUCCUUGCCACCUGCUACUCCUCUCUGAGCUACUUUUCCAGGUUCCACAGGGAGAGGUUCAGCUGUCCGUGGUAGACAUGAGGGUAGAGAGUGAGGUGGUUGGGUUCCACUUACCUUUCUAUCAUCUUGCAGUAUGGAUGUCUCUUGACUGGUACCGUGUAGACUUUUGAGGGCACACAGGAGUCUGCAGAGAGAUACUGGGGACAUUGAGCAGCAGCAGUGGGGUUGGG
rnacentral:misc_RNA from 1 species